CACAUAGGGAGGUCGGGGUGGAUGGGUGGGUUCUAAAACACAGGGCUUUCAAGCAGGGGAGAGGAGUUUGUGUCCUGGAAGAAGCUAAGGGGAACACACAAGACUUUCACCCAGGAAACUGGUGUUUGUGUCCUGAGAAUACUACUUAAGGAGAAAAUACAGACUUUCA